rnacentral:rRNA from 1 species
GACGAACGCUGGCGGCGUGCUUAACACAUGCAAGUCGAACGGAAAGGCCCUGCUUUUGUGGGGUGCUCGAGUGGCGAACGGGUGAGUAACACGUGAGUAACCUGCCCUUGACUUUGGGAUAACUUCAGGAAACUGGGGCUAAUACCGGAUAGGAGCUCCUGCUGCAUGGUGUGGGUUGGAAAGUUUCGGCGGUUGGGGAUGGACUCGCGGCUUAUCAGCUUGUUGGUGGGGUAGUGGCUUACCAAGGCUUUGACGGGUAGCCGGCCUGAGAGGGUGACCGGCCACAUUGGGACUGAGAUACGGCCCAGACUCCUACGGGAGGCAGCAGUGGGGAAUAUUGCACAAUGGGCGGAAGCCUGAUGCAGCAACGCCGCGUGCGGGAUGACGGCCUUCGGGUUGUAAACCGCUUUCGCCUGUGACGAAGAGUGAGUGACGGUAAUGGGUAAAGAAGCACCGGCUAACUACGUG